AAAGAAAAUGAUUCUGGGAGUAGACAGAAGAAACUGUCAUGGACCACAGGAUCUCGCGUUACAAGCCAAGACCCCACCCCUCAGGCCUUUCCACACCUCAAGAAGAUGAGUGACCUAACAGACCAAAACAGGUUCACAGCAAAGCCAGCUGCAUCCCGUCACAACUCAGCUCUGUCCCCCUGAGGGGUUCUGAACACCUUCCUUCUCUCAUUCUUGCGUUCCACAAACGUGAAACACUGUGCGAACUUCACAUGCCUCUGGACCUGAUGACAAGAACUUGUGCUCAAGGGAAAUUUUCCAAGGAUGAACUGAUUCCUAGACCGGU